CCUACGGGCGGCAGCAGUGGGGAAUAUUGGACAAUGGGGGCAACCCUGAUCCAGCCAUGCCGCGUGUGUGAAGAAGGCCCUCGGGUUGUAAAGCACUUUCAGUGAGGAAGAACGCCUGGUGGUUAAUACCCAUCAGGAAAGACAUCACUCACAGAAGAAGCACCGGCUAACUCCGUGCCAGCAGCCGCGGUAAUACGGAGGGUGCGAGCGUUAAUCGGAAUUACUGGGCGUAAAGCGCGCGUAGGUGGCUUGAUAAGCCGGUUGUGAAAGCCCCGGGCUCAACCUGGGAACGGCAUCCGGAACUAUCAAGCUAGAGUGCAGGAGAGGAAGGUAGAAUUCCCGGUGUAGCGGUGAAAUGCGUAGAGAUCGGGAGGAAUACCAGUGGCGAAGGCGGCCUUCUGGACUGACACUGACACUGAGGUGCGAAAGCGUGGGUAGCAAACAGGAUUAGAUACCCCAGUAGUC
rnacentral:rRNA from 1 species